UACAGAGACUGCAAGCGUUAUUCGGAUUCACUGGGCGUAAAGUGUGCGCAGGCGGCGUUUGCAAGUCGAGUGUGAAAGCCCCCGGGCUUAACUUGGGAAUUGCGCUCGAAACUACGAUGCUGGAGUGUGGCAGAGGAAGGUGGAAUUCCACGUGUAGCGGUGAAAUGCGUAGAGAUGUGGAGGAACACCGAUGGCGAAGGCAGCCUUCUGGGCCAACACUGACGCUCAUGCACGAAAGCGUGGGGAGCAAACAGG
rnacentral:rRNA from 1 species